UACGAAGGGGGCUAGCGUUGUUCGGAAUUACUGGGCGUAAAGCGCGCGCAGGCGGCUCUUCAAGUCAGGGGUGAAAGCCCAGAGCUCAACUCUGGAACUGCCUUUGAGACUGAAGAGCUUGAGUACGGGAGAGGUGAGUGGAAUUCCCAGUGUAGAGGUGAAAUUCGUAGAUAUUGGGAAGAACACCGGUGGCGAAGGCGGCUCACUGGCCCGUUACUGACGCUGAGGCACGAAAGCGUGGGGAGCAAACAGG
rnacentral:rRNA from 1 species